UCUUGUCGGAUCGUCUACGGUGCCUCUCGCGAGAGAGGUGAAACAGGGAAUGCGGUACGGCGCGAAAGCGCCAAAGCCGCGGCUGCCCCCGCAACUGUAAGCGGAUCGUCGCCGAUCACAUGCGCCACUGAGUCCGCCAAGACGGCCUCGGGAAGGCGAUCGGGACAACAUCCGCGAGCCAGGAGACCGGCCGUAGAUUCGUGCAAUGC
rnacentral:ncRNA from 2 species